GACGAACGCUGGCGGCGUGCUUAACACAUGCAAGUCGAACGAAGAGCGAUGGAAGCUUGCUUCUAUCAAUCUUAGUGGCGAACGGGUGAGUAACGCGUAAUCAACCUGCCCUUCAGAGGGGGACAACAGUUGGAAACGACUGCUAAUACCGCAUACGAUCUAAUCUCGGCAUCGAGGAUAGAUGAAAGGUGGCCUCUACAUGUAAGCUAUCACUGAAGGAGGGGAUUGCGUCUGAUUAGCUAGUUGGAGGGGUAACGGCCCACCAAGGCGAUGAUCAGUAGCCGGUCUGAGAGGAUGAACGGCCACAUUGGGACUGAGACACGGCCCAGACUCCUACGGGAGGCAGCAGUGGGGAAUCUUCCGCAAUGGACGAAAGUCUGACGGAGCAACGCCGCGUGAGUGAUGACGGCCUUCGGGUUGUAAAGCUCUGUUAAUCGGGACGAAAGGCCUUCUUGCGAAUAGUGAGAAGGAUGGACGGUACCGGAAUAGAAAGCCACGGCUAACUACGUG
rnacentral:rRNA from 1 species